AACGAACGCUGGCGGCAUGCCUAACACAUGCAAGUCGAACGAGACCUUCGGGUCUAGUGGCGCACGGGUGCGUAACGCGUGGGAACCUGCCCUUAGGUUCGGAAUAACUCCCCGAAAGGGGUGCUAAUACCGGAUAAUUUCUUCGGACCAAAGAUUUAUCGCCUUUGGAUGGGCCCGCGUUGGAUUAGCUAGUUGGUAGGGUAAAAGCCUACCAAGGCGACGAUCCAUAGCUGGUCUGAGAGGAUGAGCAGCCACACUGGGACUGAGACACGGCCCAGAAUCCUACGGGAAGCAGCAGUGGGGAAUAUUGGACAAUGGGCGAAAGCCUGAGCCAGCAAUGCCGCGUGAGUGAUGAAGGCCUUAGGGUUGUAAAGCUCUUUUACCCGGGAUGAUAAUGACAGUACCGGGAGAAUAAGCUCCGGCUAACUCCGUG
rnacentral:rRNA from 1 species